rnacentral:rRNA from 1 species
AACGAACGCUGGCGGCAUGCCUAACACAUGCAAGUCGAACGAGACCUCCGGGUCUAGUGGCGCACGGGUGCGUGAGGCGGGGGAACCUGCCCUUAGGUUCGGAAUACCUCCCCGAAAGGGGUGCUAAUACCGGAUAAGGUCUUCGGACCAAAGAUUUAUCGCCUUGGGGUGGGCGCGCGUUGGAUUAGCUGGUUGGUAGGGGAAAAGCCAAGCAAGGGGACGAUCCAUAGCUGGUCUGAUAGGAGGGUCCACCACACUGGGGCUGCGGCACGGCCCAGACUGGUACGGAAGGGAGGAGUAGAUUAUACUGGAGGCUGGGCGAAGGUCUGACACCGCAAUGCGGGGUAAGUGAGGAAGGGCGUAGGAUUGUAAAGCUCUCUUAGACGGGAUGAUAAUGACAGUAACGGGUGAAUAAGCACCGGCUAACUACGUG